UACGAAGGGGGCUAGCGUUGCUCGGAAUUACUGGGCGUAAAGGGCGCGUAGGCGGCGCAUUUAGUCAGGCGUGAAAUUCCUGGGCUCAACCUGGGGACUGCGCUUGAUACGGGUGUGCUAGAGGGCAGGAGAGGCUCGCGGAAUUCCCGGUGUAGAGGUGAAAUUCGUAGAUAUCGGGAGGAACACCAGUGGCGAAGGCGGCGAUCUGGGAAGAUACUGACGCUGAGGUGCGAAAGCGUGGGGAGCAAACAGG
rnacentral:rRNA from 1 species